AUGAACUACCACGGGGCAAUGGGAGGGCGCUGCUUCCUGAACCUCCUCCCCUGCUCCACGACCCCCUGCAAAGCCGGCGUCGGCAUCGGCACGCCCGCUUCGUCGUCAUGCCCCAACUCCGUCCACCACCACCGCACCCGAUCAGCGCGCGGCCCGAGGAGAAACGCGGCCGCCAGGGUGUCCUGCUCCGCCGCAGCCGCGCAGGCGCCGCCGUCGCAGAGCACCAUCAAGGUGGUCAUCGUCGGCGCGACCAAGGAGAUGGGGAGGGCGGCGAUCGCGGCGGUGAGCAGGGCGCGGGGGAUGGAGCUGGCGGGCGCCAUUGACACCCAGUGCAUUGGGAUGGAUGCAGGAGAGUUAAGUGGCAUGGACGAAGCCCUGGAGAUCCCGGUGCUCAACGACCUCACCAUGGUUCUCGGCUCCAUAGCACAGACAAGAGCGACUGGUGUGGUUGUUGAUUUCAGUGAACCUUCAUCCGUCUACGACAAUGUCAAGCAGGCAGCAGCAUUUGGCUUAAGCAGUGUGGUAUACGUUCCGAAAAUCGAGAUGGACACAGUAACUGAACUGUCAGCAUUCUGCGACAAGGCAAGCAUGGGUUGCUUGGUCGCACCGACACUGUCGAUCGGCUCGGUGCUCCUUCAACAAGCUGCAAUCCAGGCCUCAUUCCACUACAACAACGUCGAGAUAGUGGAAUCAAGACCUAACCCAUCGGACUUGCCAUCGCCAGACGCGAUACAGAUUGCGAAUAACAUAUCUGAUCUUGGUCAGAUAUACAACAGACAAGAUAUGGAUUCCGAUAAUCCAGCCAGAGGUCAGGUACUCGGAGAAGAUGGAGUGCGUGUGCACAGCAUGGUUCUUCCAGGACUUGCCUCAAGCACGUCGGUCGUUUUGUCGGGCCCCGGAGAGGUUUACACCUUGAAGCAUGAUGUUACAGAUGUCCAGAGCCUGAUGCCAGGACUGAUUCUGGCAAUACGGAAGGUGAUACGGUUGAAGAACUUGAUUUAUGGCCUGGAGAAGUUCUUGUAG
rnacentral:rRNA from 1 species